rnacentral:tRNA from 1 species
GCGCACGUGGCGGAAUUGGUAGACGCGCCAGCUUGAGGGGCUGGUGGAGGCAACUCUGUGGAAGUUCGAGUCUUCUCGUGCGCA